UACAUUGCAUGCAUUACACUAACACCAUUUUUUUACCCAUAUAGUCUCCCUUUUGGGUUGGAAGAGACAAGAUAGUGGAAGGCUGGAGAGGGUUCCCAUUUCACCGAAAAUCAAAACUAUGCUAAAGUAUCUCAAAAGAACAAGGCGUCAAGCUACUACGAUCAAAAUUAAAGCUACAUCUGAAAUGACCAAUGAGGGAGCUAAUGAGCAAGAUGUUGAGAUCCUCAAGAAUAUUGUCAUAGAUGAUCUCAAGAUUAUGAUCCAAGAGGAGCUCCAACAACUUUUGGCUAGGAUGGCUGCAAAUCAAACCUCGCUUGUCACCCCAAUUGCACUAGUAGCUCCUACAGUAGUCGAUCCUCCU
rnacentral:lncRNA from 1 species